UACGGGGGGGGUAAGCGUUGUUCGGAAUUACUGGGCGUAAAGGGCUCGUAGGCGGCCAACUAAGUCAGACGUGAAAUCCCUCAGCUUAACUGGGGAACUGCGUCUGAUACUGGAUGGCUUGGAUUUGGGAGAGGAAUGCGGAAUUCCAGGUGUAGCGGUGAAAUGCGUAGAUAUCUGGAGGAACACCUGUGGCGAAGGCGGCCAUCUGGACGACAACUGACGCUGAGACGCGAAAGCGUGGGUAGCAAACAGG
rnacentral:rRNA from 1 species